GGAACAUAAAGAAGUAUGAAGAUAGACUGAUUUAGUGGAUCAGUGGUAUCACCAAAGGUCAGCUUAUUUUUAUCUGUGGUCCAUGCAUUAGCUCUUCUUAUAGUUAAAAGCAGCAAAAAGUAUCACAUUCUUAAGUAAAUCAAUGUCCCAGAGGCUAGAAAGAGGACUAUCUAUUCUUUGAAACUCUUUAUAAGAACAAUCCUUUCCCAAAUCCUUUCUAGGAGACUUUCCUCAUAUUCCACUAAUCAGAAAUAGGGUGACACAUUCCUUCCUAAGCAAUUACUGGCAAGUAUAUGGAAUUACCAUGAUUUGGUUAGAUUAAUCCAGAUUCAUCCCUGAACUGGGCUAGGACCAAAUUUCCCUGAAGCGCAUAGCUUUAGGGAGGAUCUUGGAUAACUAAAUAAAAUCAGGUUCAGUUAUCAAGGAAGAAGCCUGAAUGGCUAUUAGAUAAAUAACCAAUAUUAUAGGUUUUGAUAAAUAUCAUGAAAGGAAUUAAAAUGGUACUUGGAAAACUGAUGGCAGUGAUAGGGCAAGGAGAUGAGAUAUACUUAAGAUAUGAAGAACCAGGGGAAGGAUAUUUGAGUACAGAGUUCAGCAUAUAGAAGGGGAAGCAAGAAAAGGAAAUAAUGAAGGUACUGAAGAACAGGUAGUAUAGAUAGAGAGUAGUGAGCAAGAGGGAGAAGAGUUUGACAGAAGGGAUGUCUUUGUAGCACUUAUCACUAACAGAAUACGAUAUGUUUAAUUCAUUAAUUUUGUAUUGCUUGCCUGCCAUCCCCACAAUGUAGGCUCCAUGAAAGCAGAGUCUUUGUUUUGAUUCACUGUUAUUUUCAGCAAACAGAUUGGCAUCUAGCAUGUGGUUUAUUAUCAAUAAGUAUUCGAUUAGCAAAUGAAUGAAAGGAGGAAAAAAUUAAAAACUGCAAUGAAUAUCCUUAAAACUAAAAAUUGAGUUUGUAAAACAAGUUUAGGAGGCAAUGAAGAAACGAUGCUAGUAGAUAAGAAAUAGCUCUGGGAAAUUAAAAGUCUGAUGAUCAAUAUUUUUAAAAAUCCAAUUGUUGCUUUGGAAAAUAAAGUUGAGGAAAUCUUGCAGAAAAUAGAACAAAAAGAUCAAAUGGUGGAAGAUAGAAGAGACAAUAUUAAAAACGAUUAAAGGGCCAAUCCAAAAACUUUAAUGUGUGACUCACAGAAGUCUCACAAAAUACAGAACAAAGAAAAUGAAGAAAAUUACCCAGGAAAUAAUACAUGACCAUAUUCUAGAACAGAAGAUCAUGUUUCUCUGGAUUUAUAGAGCCAAAUGAUUCCUGGACCUCAUCCAGAGCUGGAAAUAGUUCAUGUUUCCAUCAUUCAAAAUAAGAAAACCUUAUAAUAUGUAGGACAUUGUAUUGAGUCUUCAGUACUAGUGAGCAGAAAUUAGCCCUGCAAUAUGGCUUUGGACUUGCUCUAAUAAUAGAUAUAAAAACAAACCUUAAAAGAAUUUAAAACAAAACAAAAUAAAAUAAAAUGAAAACUUAACAAAAAAGGAACAGAGGUCGAGGCGCCCUCCAGUUGGAGUUUUUUGAUGAGAACUCCAAAUGAAGUAUUCUGCUAUGUUGACCUCUGGAUUGGUAUCAUCUCAGUUUGGGAACUUUUAAGUCAACUAAGAAAUGGAUGGAUCACUAAGGAGUCAUUUAUUCAUCUCAGUGACUCUGUUUUUUUUAAAAAGAUAUUUAUUUGAGAGAGAGCACAAGUACAAUGAGGGACAGAGAGAAGCAGACUUCCCACUGAGCAGGGAGCCCACACAGGGCUCUAUCCCAGGACCUCAGGAUCAUGACCUGGGCCCAGGGCAGUCACUUAACUUACUGAUCCACCCAGACAUCCCUCAGUGUCUGUUCAAAUGCAAUGUGAGUUCUCAUGUUUUCUCUAAGGGUUGGUCUAUAUUUCUAAUAAAGAAUUUAGCAUAGUUGUUUUAUUGGGUAAAAAACCCCCACAUUCAACAAUGUACAGUGCACGAUACCCAACAUCUAAUCAAAAAUUACUAGGUGUGGGGCACCUGGGUGGCUCAGUCAGUUGGGCAUCUGUCUUCGGCUCAGGUUAUGAUCCCAGGAUCCUGGGAUUGGUACUUUGUUGGGCUGUCUGCUCAGCAGGGAUCCUGCUUCUCCCUCUCCCUCUGCCUGCUGCUCCUCUUGCUUAUGCUCUGUCAAAUAAAUAAAUGAAAUCUAAAAAAAAAAAAAAAAAAAAAAAAAAAAAAAUUACCAGGCAAAUGAAAGCAGGGAAAUAUCCAUAACUCUAGUGAAAAGAAAUUA